rnacentral:rRNA from 1 species
GUGGGGAAUAUUGGACAAUGGGCGAAAGCCUGAUCCAGCCAUGCCGCGUGUGUGAAGAAGGUCUUCGGAUUGUAAAGCACUUUAAGUUGGGAGGAAGGGCAGUAAGUUAAUACCUUGCUGUUUUGACGUUACCGACAGAAUAAGCCCCGGCUAACUUCGUGCCAGCAGCCGCGGUAAUACGAAGGGGGCGAGCGUUAUUCGGAAUCACUGGGCGUAAAGCGUGCGUAGGCGGUUUUGUAAGUUAGGAGUGAAAGCCCAGGGCUCAACCUUGGAAUUGCUCUUAAAACUGCAAGGCUCGAAUCUCGGAGAGGAUAGCGGAAUUUCCAGUGUAGCAGUGAAAUGCGUAGAUAUUGGAAGGAACACCAGUGGCGUAAGCGGCUAUCUGGACGAGUAUUGACGCUGAGGCACGAAAGCGUGGGGAUCAAACAGGAUUAGAUACCCCAGUAGUCC